CUGUACUGUGCAGGCUUGAUGGGCAUCCAUGUGUAAUGGCCAAGCCUGUGGGAAAGGAGAAAAUCCUUCCCUGGAGACAUCCAGUGGGAGACAUCCAGAAGGGCAUUCUGCUGAGGACAUUGUGGGUGGAUCAUUCAACAUAGCCUUUAAGAUAUUUGUUUUUAAUGAGAGGAUAAUUGCUUUACCAUGCUUGUGGGCGUUUCUGCUGUAUAGCCAUGUUCACACACCAACAAUAAGGAGAAAGGAAUAUCAUGGUAGAAUCCUCUUUCCAAACUAAGAUACUUGAUACGGUACAAAUUUAGCAGGUCCUUGAAAAAUUACAGUUUGGCAGCAUUUUACUCGUGUUUAUAAUUUGUGAUUCCCGAAUCCCUGGGGCAGAACUCAAGCUACUGAAGAUCUGGAGAGGAAAGACUUUUGCAGGCCUGCAGGUGGUGAACGCUGUGAUUCUCCUGUUCAGGUACGAUGGUUACAAAGAGUCAAGAACAUGAUCCUUUCUCCAAGCAGAGAACCCCAUCUGGGGCAAUGCUGACAAUGGCUGGAUGUCUUAGAGCUCUGGGGAUGGGUCAGGGCAGCGUCACCGGUCCUUCGCCUGUGCUGCUGGCUUGUUAAGUGACAUCAGACCCGCCUUGAAGGACCUGGCAGUGGGGGGAUACCCAGAUCCUGAGAACACUUGUGAGGUGCGUGUUCGGGAGGGCUCAGAGAGAGGUUUCUGUGGGAUGCUCCGAGAGGCCUCUGGGUGGGAUUUCUCAGAGUGGGUGUGUGGGAGGUCCCCAUGUGGGGUCAGUGUGGGUCUCUGUGUGGGGACACAGUGGGGGACACCCCAUUGCUGACCGUUCUGCCCACGAAGGCAGGCGAAGGGCUCGGGGAUUUGCUCCUUCUUGUUUCUUGUUCUGUCGGUGUUUGCGGGGAGAGAGCAAAUUGGCCAAGAUUGCGUGUUCAGGUUCUCUCGCCCCACAUUUUGUAAAUAAUGACUAUGUAACAGCUGAGAUCAUUUAUAGCACUGCACAUGCCCGUCACGAGACACUUUCUUGGUCAUGGACUGCUUUAUGCAGUACGUCUGUAGAAGCUUCACCUGGAAAAGCCUGGAAGGGUUGUUGUGUUAGGUUAUGCUAUGACUGCUGCAUCAGCCAGGAGAGAAUAAAUGUGUCCUACAGCUCCUCGAGUAUUCUUCCAGCAUCUCAGCUCACGCCUUGCCUACCCGGGGUUCAACGAACAGUACAGACAGUGUGAACAGGAAGAAAAUCGGCGUCACGAACAGGAUCAGCAGUACAGUGUCCUUCUGUUUCAUUGCUCUGGGCCGGUGCCUAGCGGGCCCGGAACCCCCACACAGCACUCUCCUCUCGAUGCCCCUCAGAGGACCUGGCAGCAUCCAGGCUCAAGGUUCCUGCUCUGGGCCCCCCUCUCCUGAGCUCUGGCGGUCACUCUGUGACCUAGGUCCCAGCCAUUCCCUCUGGCCCCAGCUGAGUCCCCGCUGCCGCGCCCACCCUGCAGGAUGAGACCCAGAGUCAAGACCUGGAUCAAGGGAGAAACCACAGUGUAAGCAGGCCUGUGCCCACUCUCACACCCCACCCAGGUCCUGGCCCCACCUGUGGGGGUUCUGACAGGCGUGGGGACAGGACAAUUCCUGCUGCCUCCUGGAUCAGGGGAGCCCCCUGGAGCAGGACUCUCCACCGUGGGAGUGACUGACAUGGAGCCCUGAAUUGCUCUAGGCAAUUGCUCCUGUCUCCCGGCUUUCUUGUGCAAAAAGGCCUGGGGAGGAAAGCUGACAGCACCCUUGUUCCCCACAGGUCACUUCCUACCCGCUGGGUAACACAUCCAGUCUGCUAGUCCUUUCUCCAUCUGGGCUCUGUGGUGAGCAAGGCUCAGGGCAGGCGAGACUGGCUACAACUCUAGCACAGUCCCUGGGCCUGUUGAGGCCCACCUGUUCCCUGGCAGCCUCCUUGGGCCACAUGAGUAAGGUAGAGGUCACGGACCGCGAGUCUGUCCCGAGCUCCCUGUCCUGUGAAAGCUGAUUAUUUACACUGUGGAGAAGUGAAGCUUCCCUGCUCAGAGGCUCCACUGCCUCUGGGAGCCUGGCCCUCUGUGAGCCUGGCCCUCUGUGGAGGAGCUCCAGCUCGCCUCACACAGUCUGAGCUCUGGGAACUGGAAUAGAGGGGAGACUCUGGGGUGGGGCCACCAGGAGCCACCGGGGCCCCUAAUUUCUUUCCUCUGGGCCUGUAGUUGUGGUGGGUUGCCAGGGGCUCCUUGGUC